UACCAGCACCCCGAGUGGUCGGGACGUUUAUUGGGCCUAAAGCAUCCGUAGCCGGUUCUGCAAGUCUUCCGUUAAAUCCACCUGCUUAACAGAUGGGCCGCGGAAGAUACUAUAGAGCUAGGAGGCGGGAGAGGCAAGCGGUACUCGAUGGGUAGGGGUAAAAUCCGUUGAUCCAUUGAAGACCACCAGUGGCGAAGGCGGCUCGCCAGAACGCGCUCGACGGUGAGGGAUGAAAGCUGGGGGAGCAAACCGG
rnacentral:rRNA from 1 species